UGAGACUGAUUUUGAAAAGUUCCUCGCAAGUUCCAGGUAGGAUUCAGUACUAUUCACUCAUAGCAGUGGCCAACUCAACAAUCCACCCUGGCACUGGCCUUCCUCUGUUCUAUGUCUCUUUCCCACCAUGACCUCACUCCUAUCAUCUGAGAUCACUUCCCCUAUCAGUCCCCUGCUCUGUUUCUAGGGAAAUCUAGGCCAAGACAGUUGGUGCCAGGCAUGGUGAAAAUCCUGACAUGCAGUAGCAUCCCAGUCCUAAGAUCCUCACCUGUCUUGGAAAGUGAUAAAGUAUGAGCAGAAGGUGGACUAUGAAAUUCUGUGCUCUCUGUGAAAUGUGCACAGCCUUAGGAAACGGUCAUUACAAAUAUGGAGUUGAAUGACUUCUGUUAACUGUUUUUGAAAACCUUGAAAAAAUGAUAAACUCAGAUUGGAUAACUAUCAAUCCAAGGUAGCUGUGAAAACCAGGGGCUCUCUAGGGC
rnacentral:lncRNA from 10 species